UCAAAAUAAAUUGAAUAGUAUUUAUUUAAUAAUUUUUAUUUUUUUUUAUUAUUAUUAUAUUAAAAAUAUUUAUAUGAUUUUUUGUUUAGUAUAUUUAUAGAAUAAAUAAUUUUAUUUGUAGUUUAUUAGUAAUGUGAGUGAACAUUGAAAUAUUUUGAAAAAUUAUUAUAAUUUAAGAAAAUUUUAUUUAUUGUACCUUGUGUAUCAGGGUUAAUUAAAUAUGAUUUAUUUAAUUUAAAUUUCCCGAUUUUAAAAGAGUUAAUAAGAUAUUUAAGUUAAUGUUAUAUAAUUAUUUAUAAUAUUUUAUUAGAGAUGAUAAGUUAUUCGUUUUUAAAGGUAUCUGGUUUUUUCAGAAAUAAAUUCAAUUUAGAAUUUUAAUAUUUAUUAAUUUUAUUAUAUUAAUAUAAUUAAUUUUAAAAUUUAGUUUUCUAUGGGAUAAGCUACAGAAUAAAUUUUUAUAAGUUUAAAUAAUAGAAUAAAAAGUAUAAUUAAUAAUAUUAAUCUUUAAUAAGUUUGUUAUAAUUUAUUGUUCAUUAGAAUUAUUUAUUUAAUUUUAAGUUUUUAUGAAGAUGUUUUUGUUAAUAUUUUAUAGGGAGUAAUAAUGAUUAAAUUAGUAUAUUUGUUUGUUUUGAAAAUAUAAUUGUUAGGUUAAUAUAAAGAAUUCGGCAAAUUUAAUGUUCGCCUGUUUAACAAAAACAUGUCUUUUUGAUUUAUGAAAAGUCUGACCUGCCCAUUGAUAAUUUAAAAGGCCGCAGUAUAUUAACUGUGCAAAGGUAGCAUAAUCAUUAGUCUUUUAAUUGAAGGCUUGUAUGAAUGGUUGGACGAAAUAUUAACUGUUUUAUAUUAAUUUAUAUAGAAUUUUAUUUUUUAGUAAAAAAGCUAAAAUAAUUUUGAGGGACGAGAAGACCCUAUAAAUCUUUAUAUUUAAGUUAUUUUAAUUAUAUAGAUUGUUUUAUUUAUUAUAAUGAUAAUAUUUUAUUGGGGUGAUAUUUAAAUUUAAUAAACUUUAAAUUGUUAAAACAUUGAUUUAUGAAUGAUUGAUCCAUUAUUAGUGAUUAGAAAUAUAAGUUACUUUAGGGAUAACAGCGUAAUUUUUUUAGAGAGUUCUUAUCGAUAAAAAAGAUUGCGACCUCGAUGUUGGAUUAAGAGAUAAGGUUGGGUGUAGAAGUUCAAUUGUUAAGUCUGUUCGACUUU
rnacentral:rRNA from 1 species